rnacentral:rRNA from 1 species
GUGGGGAAUAUUGGACAAUGGGCGCAAGCCUGAUCCAGCCAUGCCGCGUGAGUGAUGAAGGCCUUAGGGUUGUAAAGCUCUUUCGUCAGGGAAGAUAAUGACGGUACCUGAAGAAGAAGCCCCGGCUAACUUCGUGCCAGCAGCCGCGGUAAUACGAAGGGGGCUAGCGUUGCUCGGAAUCACUGGGCGUAAAGCGCACGUAGGCGGCUUUCUAAGUCAGGGGUGAAAUCCUGGAGCUCAACUCCAGAACUGCCUUUGAUACUGGAGAGCUUGAGUUCGAGAGAGGGAAGUGGAACUGCGAGUGUAGAAGUGAAAUUCGUAGAUAUUCGCAAGAACACCAGUGGCGAAGGCGGCUCACUGGCCCGAUACUGACGCUGAGGUGCGAAAGCGUGGGGAGCAAACAGGAUUAGAAACCCUAGUAGUCC